rnacentral:tRNA from 1 species
GACCACGUAGCUCAGUUGGAAGAGCAUUGGGCUAGUAUUCCAAAGGUCGCAGGUUCGAAUCCCACCGUGGCCG